rnacentral:rRNA from 1 species
CCUACGGGGGGCAGCAGUAGGGAAUCUUCGGCAAUGGGGGGAACCCUGACCGAGCAACGCCGCGUGAGUGAAGAAGGUUUUCGGAUCGUAAAGCUCUGUUGUAAGAGAAGAACGAGUGUGAGAGUGGAAAGUUCACACUGUGACGGUAUCUUACCAGAAAGGGACGGCUAACUACGUGCCAGCAGCCGCGGUAAUACGUAGGUCCCGAGCGUUAUCCGGAUUUAUUGGGCGUAAAGCGAGCGCAGGCGGUUAGAUAAGUCUGAAGUUAAAGGCUGUGGCUUAACCAUAGUACGCUUUGGAAACUGUUUAACUUGAGUGCAGAAGGGGAGAGUGGAAUUCCAUGUGUAGCGGUGAAAUGCGUAGAUAUAUGGAGGAACACCGGUGGCGAAAGCGGCUCUCUGGUCUGUAACUGACGCUGAGGCUCGAAAGCGUGGGGAGCAAACAGGAGUAGAGACCCGAGUA